rnacentral:lncRNA from 1 species
ACAGAUGAAAAAUUUUUUUUGGUAAAAUGAUAGCAGAGAAUUUAGGGAGGUGGAGUUGAACUGAGUUAGAGCAUAUAUCCUGAUAAUGUCACUGUUGAUGCAGUUGCUCACCACAAUGUCAAUCAGCCUGUUGUUUGCUGCUAACUACGUGCAUUUUCUUUACUCCUUCUACGGGUAAAGUCCUUACUGUUGACAUCUAAAUAAAUCAUAACCGCUCUGUCUGUUGACAGAACUAUAUUUAGCUUUUCAAGUGUCCGAAAGUAUUUGAUGCAAAACUCAAAUCCCUGUUCCAUGUUGUGUCUUAAUUCAACUGAAACAUAUGCUUUGAAUUCUAGUUCAUCAAACUUUUGGACAUCAGUGGUUAUAACUUUAAAAUUCAUCAUUCUUGACCUUUUUUAAAUAAUUAAAUUAAUAACCGCAACCAUUGGUUUUAUCUCAUAUGUUUGAGGUCAACAUAGAGCUCAUAAUUUGCAUUCUUUGCGAAUGUUAUUUUCUUUCAUAUCUUCUUUAUGUCAACUUAUAUAUGUAUAGAAUCCACAUUGCAUUGAGUGUUUUGUUGAUUGUUAUAUGGUAAAGCGAAUUAUCUCAGAAACAUCUUCAGAAAGUAUAAAAUCCCACAAUACAUGACUUGUGGCCUUCAUCUUGCAUGCCAAUUGAUAUUGGAUAGCUGAAACAUCUCUAGUAAGUAUUAAAAGUUAUUGCCAAACUAGGAUUGUAGUGUGCUUAUAUAAGCUAAUAAAUUGGGCUCUGUUUUGCGUUCUUGUACUGUACGGCUUUUCUUCUAGAUGGUAUGAAGCUGCUUGUAAUAAUACAUUUUUAGUUGCUAGAAUUAAUAAUAUACUUAAAGUUUGUUGAGACUAGAGAUAGAGAUGGGAAGGAUACCAAAAGAGUACCUGUGUUAAAGACGUAGAGCCAGAGCAUAGCAAAGAGAAGCUUCACAGAAACCGCCAUUAAAGUUUGGGAUUGUUUUCUUGCAGUUGGAGGGGAUAAGGAUCCUCUUUUCAUUUUGUAUUAUUUAUAGGGGGAAUGGGCAACUCCAUUUCAGGCUGACUUUUUUGGAGAAGGUCCUCUGAUUGUUGGCUAAGAUUUCAUGCUAUUUUGUGAUAUGAACUUGCUUCUUAUUUUCUUUUCUUAUUCAACUUAUGAUUGACUUAAUGUUUUAUUGCAGUGUCCUGAUUCAGCCAGCGAGGGGCGAUCUUAUUUAGGUAUUAGAGUUUAUAUUUUCUCACCCCUAUUCGGCCAAUGAGCGAUCUUUGUGUCCCAUGUUCUUGCUUGAGGAGGAUUAGAUCUAGAUCUAAUCCUCUAUCUCAAACAGUAACUCCCUUAAAAUCUCUGUCCUCUUCCUUAACUCAAAUUACAACUUACUUCUUAUUUUCUUCUCUUAUUAGACUUAUGGUUGGUUUAAUAUUCUAUUGUAGUGUCAUCAACAUGAAGAAAUAUCCAAAACAAUAAGACAGUAAGGCAAUGAUCUUUUUUCCUUCUUUUUUUGUUUUAGUUUUGUUCCUAAAAUAUUCCUCUUAAAUUGAAUUUAGAAAAACUAAGUUCCAGGUUUGUUAUCUUUUAGUUUUAGAAUUAUGAUAUCAGUCAGUAUAGUUAGAUAACAGGAAAAAGAAUAAUUUGAGGAUAUCAAAUUAUUUCUUAAUUGAACUAUGGUAUGCAACUACAUCAUAUAAUUAAAUCAAUAUUCUAUAUACUUCAAACUGACAAAUGAGGUUCAGAAAAUGAAACAAUCGAUAAACUAUUUUAUUAAUCAACCAUGAAUUCCUCUGUUAUAAUUGUUCUUGGGUUUUUCCAUGUUUGUACCUUUUUUUCUUGAGUUUAGAUUGGGAUCUACUUGUUUCUGUUGAAUUCUCCUAUUUAUUUUUUGGGUUCUUAGCUACUCUUAUUUUAUUUCAUUUCAUUGUUAAAAUGAAAUGUAAACCUUAAAAAACAACAUUUGUUUGUAGUACUACUAACACUUAUAUUAUUUCCAUUUCUAAUAGUAAUAUCAAAAAUAGGAAGAAGAGAGUAUAAGUUACAAUGCAAACACUGCUUGCGAUUAGCAUUUUUUCAGAACUCCUUUCAAAGAUGACACCUGAGAAGAAAACAUAUCAAAGUUCUAAGUUUAAUAGAAGAACAUUUGUUUGAUUUUAUGAAUGCAGAGAUCAAAGUAGGUAUCCAAAAAUUAACAGUGUUUCAAGUUCACAAGAGGGGGGCAAGAUAGAAGUUCAGUGGUGAAUUGAGUACUUCUUUUAGUUGGAGUGGUAGAUAAUAAAUGAACAAUUCUCAUGUAUGCAAAUUAACUCCAAGCAUUUGUACACAAGAGCUACUAUUUCUGGCUUCCCAUUCUUCUCAUAGGUUGCCGCAGAAUCCCUACAUUUGAGUGCACAUUCAAGUCUAUAAAUGGUAUAACUUAAAAAUCCUCACAUUGUAAGGAUGAAAUCGUCCAAAAAAAAAAUCAUCAGGUUGAAAAUUUCUAUAGUACUCCAAGAAAAAUAAAAAGAAAAAGCAUGACAUGUAAAUAAAACAUUAGUUUGAUAGGUUACUAAUGAUGGUACAUCAAAGAAAAAUGACAUAAUUUAGAAACAAAUCACAUGAUUUUGAUUCAUUGACCAUAUUUUGUGAAACAGGUCAAGUACCAUGAUUUCCUAUAAACUCAUGAAGGUGAAGUUUGGAUCUUUUGUACUCUUCCUUUCAUUUACUUGAUGAAAAUGAUAAGCCUUGCCUAAUCUUUAUUCAAAUUCAAAAAUAGAUAUGUUUAUGUAAAGUGUUUUCAAUGACGUCUAAUAUAUUUAGGUUAUGUUCUUAUAAAAUUCUGAUAUUUGUAUACAUUAUUGUUGUAAAAUUAUUCUAAAAUUCUGAUUGUUUAUUUUUUAUUUAUGAUUUAUAUGCUUAAUUUGUUUCUUACUUGUUUAUAUGAAUAGGUUUGGAUGGCCUGCCUUUGUAGGAAACCGAUUGCAAUCAUUUUGAUUUAGCUGCAAUGAUGAAUUUGAAUCUCCUCUUUCUCUUUCCUUUGCUUUUAUCAAUUUUUUGUUUAUAUGAAGAGGCUAAGAUGAUUCUAGGAUGAGAUUUUCCUAAUUCAUGAGGCAUUAGUCAGCUAUUCUAAUGGCAAGCAAUUUUAGAUGGUCUCUUUUUAUAGGCAAUUGAUUGUAGCCAUUUUGAUUUAGCAUAUGAAAUGAUAAAUCUGAGCUUCCUCUUCAUUUUUUCUUUGCUUUUCUAAAUAUUUGCUGGUUAUAUAUGUUUGUUUCUUUCAAGUUUGAUUCUUUUAAAUUAUAUGAUAUAGAUAGAUAAAGAGAUCAUUGUGAAUAUAGAGCUUGAUAAUGGUGAUGAUGAUAGGGCAAAUAAAUCGAUGCCUCUAAAUUCUAAUAUAGUUAUAGAGGUGAUUCUGCAAAAAGCAAAUGUAAAAGAAAGUUAGCUUCGCUUGUUUAUCAAUUCUUUCAUAUAAAUGAGGCAACUCAAAAGUAUAAAUAUGAGAAGUGUGGUAUAGAAUAUCCAUAUGGCGAUAAAAUUGGGAUUGAAAAUCUAAAACAUCAUAUAGAGAGCUAUAGAAAGAAUCGUGAUGUAGGACAAAUGAUCUUACCAUAAUUUGAAGGGUCUAGAUUAAUGCAUUCUAGUAAAUUUGAUUCUGAAGAUUUCUGUUUAUGGCUUACAUUUAUAAUUAUCAAGCAUGAUCUACCAUUUCAAUUUGUUGAGUAUGAAGGUAUUAGAUCAUUGUUUGCAUAUAUUUGUGAGGAUGCUAAGUUGGUAUCAAGGAAUAUUGUAAAGGCUGAUUUACUAAAGUUGUAUAGAAAAAGAGAAGAAAAAAAUAAUAUGACGACUAUAUUCAAUUCCUAUUAGGAUAAGUUUAACUUCAAAUUUGUGGACUUCUAUUACUACCGAUGGGUGUUUGUGUUUAACCACCCAUUUAUUGAUGAAGAAUGGGUAUUGCAAAAGAAAAUUCUCAACUUUCAUUUCAUGCCUUCUCCAUAUAAUGGCAUAUCUUUGUAUGAAGUAAUUUAUAAUUUAUUGAUUGGUUGAGGGAUUGAAAAGAAAUUGGACAGUAUGACUUUGAAUAAUGCAUCGAUAAAUGAUGUAUUUGUUAAUAUGCUAAAGAUCCAAUUUAAUUUGAAAAGUGCAUUUUACUCAAAUUGUGAGUUUUUUAAUGUCUAUUGUUAUAGUUAUAUUCUUAACUUAAUUGUGCAAGAGAGAUUAAAGGAGAAAGAUGAACCUAUCUUCAAGGUUAAUUUGUGAAAGCAUUAAAUAUAUGAGGGUUCACAAGUUUGAAAAUAAAAACCAUUGAAAUGUAUUAGACAAGUUUCUUUGGAAGGUAGAAAAGAUUUGAGGCAAGAUAUUUCUACAAGAUGGAAUUCUAUUUUUUUUUUAAUGUUAGAGAGUGCUAUUAUUACCGAUCUGUAUUUCUUUAUUUAUAAUUAAGUGACUCUAAUUACAAGCACUGUCCAUCUGAAGAGGAUUGAGAAAAGUUGAAAAGAUUAGCAAGUUAUUAAGUGUGUUCUAUGAUGUUACUCUAAUAUUUUCAAGAGUUAAAUAUCUUAUAUUAAACUUAUAUUUUUUUCAAGUUUUCUUAAUUGAGCUUAUUUUAAGAUAAGAGAUGCAGAGUGUAGAUACUUUUAUAUAUGAGAAAUUUAAAAUAUAUUAGUCAGAUCAUAGAUUAAUCUUGCCAAAGAUAGUCAUUUUAGAUCAUCGAUAUAAGUUUCAGUUUGUGGACUAUUGUUAUAAAUAGUUGAAUGGAAAUGGUUGCACCGGGAGGAUGCGCAUCCAUGAUUGUAUGUUUUCUCUCUUCAAUCAAUAUAUGCUAGCUUCUUCUAAAGCUUUUAGGACUAGCACAUCAACUCAUGGAGACAUGGAGAGUGAUACUUCUUAUGAAGCUUCUGAAUUAUUUAUAAAAUUGGAUGCUUUUAAGAUAAUAUUAAACUAAAAUAAAUAUAUUGUAUAGAUAUAUGAUAUUAUUUUUGAUAUUUAACUCUUUUUUUCUAAUAUGUAGGACUUUGAUAUAUUUGAAAGCUUUGAUUUUGUGAAUACCGUGCAAAAGUCCCAAUUGAAAUUAUAUUUGGAUGGGCUUAGAGUUGAUAAAAAGUACAAUUUGGAUAUCCUAGAUUUUUAAAAAGCGAAUAAGUUUUGAUAUCCAAAACUUUCUAUUAUGGCUCAUGAUAUUUUAACUAUUCUAAUAUCUACAGUCGUCUCUAAAUUUGCUUUUAGUAUUAAUAUGUGAGUACUUAAUAAAUAUUAUAGUUUACUUAAAUCGGAUAUUGUUGAGGCAUUAAUUUACAUCGAGAUUGGAUAUUUGGAAGUAAAGAUAUAUAUUUCAUUAGUUAUAUUCCUAUUAUAUUUUGAAUUGGUUUAUUAUUAAUAUUAUAUAUUUUAAUGUAAAUAUUUUAAAAUCCAAGUUAGAUGAGAUUGUAAAAGAUGUAAUGAACUUAAGUUUUGUCCAUAAAGCUCAAUCAACUCAAUGCUCGGCCAAUAUUGAUGCCAACCCAUAAUGAGAUAAAUCAUAGUCAUGGAUUUUUUUUGGAUUGUGUUGCUUAUGUUUAUUGGACAUAUUAUCUUGUCAAGUAGCAUUUUGUUUGGAACUUUUUUUGGUUUUUGUUUGAAUAUGGAUGUUGUCAUAGUUUGGGAUUUUUUUUUUGUUUGACUAUGGAUGUUGUCAAUCGAUUUAUAGAGUUAUGAUGGUAGUUAAUUUUAUGGUGGUUAUAUUUUAGGUUCUUAUAUGAUAGAAUUAAUUUUUAAGUAUAUAAUUUUAUAAUUUUAGAUUAUAAUUUCAUUUGUAAAUACUUGUUUAAUUUCAUGACUAUGCCAUAAUUAUUCUAUGUAACAUUUUUUGUUUAAAUUCUUAUAUCCAACUUUAAUGGUUACAUACUCGUAGGCAAAAAAUAAGGAACCUUGAGAUCAAGGUUUUCACAAAUUUUGUAUAUUGUCAGAUAAGAUUUUAAAUCCAGUAGAACAAAGGUGUCCUAAUUUAUCUAUAGAAACAAGAUUCCCCGCUGCUCCAUUCCGUCCCGACAAAGGUCUCAGUCAUACACACGAUUGAUAUCUUCUAUCUUUUUUCUCUUUUUUUUUCUUUCUUUUUUACUUUCUUCCUUCUUAUCUUUUUUUCUUCUACCUUUCUUUUUUUUCCUUUCCUUUUUCUUUCUUUUUCUACUCCCUUCCUUUCUUUUUUUCAUUUUUCUUCUUCUUUCCUUUUAUUUUUUUUAUUUUUCUUUCCUUUCCUUCUUUCUUGUUUCUUCUUCUCUCCUUGCAUGGAUGGUUUCGGUGUCCCAAGCUUGUCUUGAUCCGAUUUUCCCACAGAAAAGGGAUGGGACGAGAUGAUUGGGAUGCCUCCUGUAUAUAAAACCUUGUUGCUAGAUAUAUUGGCAUGCUAUUCUAGAGUUUGUUAUAUUGUAUUUCUAUUUAUUGUAAUAUAAAUUAGUAUGCCUUUUGGGCUAGUAUGUUGGUUUUUGUUCACUAUAUCUGAUCUUGAAUGCAAAUACUAUAUAAGAUUCAUGAAAUAUUUUCAAUAUUUACUUUUUUGUAAAGAUUAAAUAUAAAUGGUAGCCUCCAAAAAAGAAAGAUUGAAUGUAAAUGCUAUCCAAAAAAAAUUAUUGCAAUGUUUUCUAUAUUCAAGUUUCUAUACUUUUGCUAUUUGAUAUAUUAAAUAGGUUGGAUCGGAUUGGGCUUAUAGGUUCUAUUUUAAAUAGGUUAAACAGGUCAAGUUGGAUUCGGUUGGACCAACAGGUUGCCUAUUUAUUAAACAUGUUAAAUAGGUUGGGUUGAAUCAAGUUGGGUUAACAGGUUACUUAUUUAAUAAAUAUGUUAAAUAGAUCGAAUUACAUUACUUAUUUAUUAAACAUGCUAGAUUCAGAUUGUAAAUUCUGACAGGUUUAAUAAAUAGGUCAGAUUUAGGUUUAGAAUUUUUUGAUCCGAUCUGCAUCUUAUCCAACUCAUUUAUGACUGAUCCCAUCCAAUUGCCAUUCCUACAAUUGACCCUAUAUCUACUAACAUGUAUCCGCCACUGAUCUCUGGUAUAUUGCAAUAGCAGAUGGCUGGUAUAUAUAUAUUUCAUAUCCCAGUUAUGUUGAAAACAUAAAUAAUCUACAUCCAUGUAUAAGAUCACAAAAUUGUAGAAUAGAGGAGGAAAACAAGAUGCUUAAACGAUAGAAAUUGGAUCACCACGAAGAUGAUCCAUAUCAUUACUUUUCUUACAUGCUGUUAAGGAUUACAUCAGAACUGCUUGGGUCAGAACCAAUUUUAUUUCUUCUUGCUGUUCUAAAAAGAAAAACAGCAAUCUUUCUUUCAUUCUUUCAAUGAUAAGCAUGCAAUUAGAUGGCUCUACAAUUCAUUAGCAAUUAAUUGUAAAAUUAUCGGUAGGAAGUAUUUGAUGGCCUCUAUCAAAGGCAUACUGAAACUUGAAUGUGGUCUGGCUCGCAAUGGGCUGCCCAUCAUGCAAAAGGUAGGAGGUGCCAUCUUCUCUAAAAACUUUCGGGUCAACUGGCAUGGAGCUGCUAAAUCCAUCUGCACGCAAGUGCACAUUUGACACUGGACAGCGGCAUAGAUUUUUCACUUGCACCUCAAAGACAAAAUCAAGGUUAUGCCUUUCUCCAGUGUUGAUAGUCUGAACCUGAAUAUCUGAAGUAUCGCAACGCUGACUUUCUCCUACCAUAUUCAGCAAACAAUAUUAAAGGUCAUUAUAAUUUUAAAUGACGGCAUGCUAUAUGAUGUUUAACACUGAUGGUGCAUUGUACAUUGCCGUCCUCAAAUUUGGAUGAAAUUGUGGAGGGCUAAUAUUGGUUGGUAAUCAACAAUAUGUCAGACUAUAAAAUGAAGAAUUACAAUUGACAGGUACUUAAAGUUUGCUGAGACUAGAGAUAGAGAUGGGAAGGAUAUCAAAAUAGUACCUGUGGCAAAGACGUAGAGCAAGAGUAUAGCAAAGAGAAGCUUCACAGAAACCGCCAUGGAAGUUUGGGAUUGUUUCUUGGAGUUAGAAGGGAUGAAGAGCAUCAUCUCAUUUUGUAUUAUUUAUAGGGGGAAUGGGCGUCUCCAUUUCAGGCUGAUAUUUUGGGAGGAGAUCCUCUGAUUGUUGGCUAAGAUUUCAUGCUAUUUCGUGAUAUGCCAUCUAUGUUAUGGACUUUUCUUUUCAUGCUUUAAGAUUGCGUUUCCCUAUGUUUAAUCUACUAAAAAUUGUGAGAAAUUUUAUAUUAUUUAAUAUGUUAGCCUGUGCAGCUGUGCUGCCUAUGUUUUAUCUGUUAAUAAUUUGUGGGAGAUUUUGCAUUAUUUGUGGGACAUUGCCUGUGUAGCCUUUUGAGCCUGAGCUGAUGAAGUUGCCCAAUGCUGUACAAUGUACGUACCAAAAAAAAUGCUAUAAAACUUUAGAUUUAGAAUAGAUGAAUUAUAAAAAUCAAAUAAAAAAAUUAAAUUUUUUAUUUAUUUGCAGGAUCUUCUUCUACAUUUUUGUCAUAGUUACCUUCUCUCAUUAGUAUCAUAAUUAAAUAUGUCCUUAUUUAUUUGCAAGUGGAAUUUCUAAUUUUUCUAUGAUCUCACCAAAAGAAAAUAUUCUGUUGGAUUUUUAAUUAUUUAUACGUAUUGGUAUUUCUAAUUUAUUUUCUAUUAUAUACCUUUCUUUACAUAUUUGUAGCUGGUUUUAAUUUUUAAUUUUUAACUUUUGUUAGAAGUCUUGGCUUUUUUUAUUGAUCUGUUGCCCUAAUUGCAAUUAGAUCAAAAUUUCUUCUAAAGUCGGAACUUUUGCUUUCAUUUUCUUUAUUUGUAUGCAGAACGGAUUCUAGUUGAGGUGCAUUUCAGGAUUAAAAAGAAUAAAUAGAAUCUAGAUGGAAUACUCAAGAUUUCAAAGCUCACAGACGUAUAUAGUAUAGAUUCAUUGAUUACUGAUUUCUCCUGAUAUCGUACUGAUUAUGGUUAAAGAUUUAUAGUAUUAAGUGGUUUUUCUAUAUUAAAAUUAUAUUUUUCAUGCUUUUGAUAAUAACUUUUUAAUUAGUAUUUGAUAAAAAAAAUAUAUUUCACCAAUUUGGACAUAUUGUCCUACAUUUUUGUGGCUCCAAAAUGUGGAAUAGGCAGUGGUGACCAGGCACAAAUCUUUAUUUUUAUUCAAAGUUUGGAAUCUAGAUAUGCAUCUAUUUUUUUUGGUAGAAAGUGGAUUAGUUGGCUGAACUUAAGCUCUAUGAAUUAUUAAGGAGAUCUGCUCAAGAAAUAGAAAUAUCAAAAAGAAAACUUGGACAGGAUGAGGGAGAAGGGACAGCAAGCAUAGCAGAUUUGGAUGGAUUGAAAGAAAGAAGAAAAAAUAAUGAAAAAGUUAGAAUUAGAUCAUCAAAAUCAAGUCUAAUCAAUUAAUACGUGAGAAAGAAGAUAUUACCUCUAAAAUCCAAGCGAAUUGAUGAGCUUAUUUAGUGGGCAUAAGUUAGUAACUUAGCUGGCAAUCAGUGUCCCACCAAAUUCAGUGUUGUAUAUGAAGGGAAGUAUGAUAGGUGAUGUGCAUGCAUUUUUAAAAUUUUUACAGCGGAACAUAUAUAGAUUAAAUAAUUUAAUCUAUAAUGAAUGCAUAGAUCAAAUCUAAAUCACAAUACAGGAUCUAUAACAUGGAUUAAUAUGCAUGUAUGUACUUCUCAAAUCUAAAAUUCAACAAGUACAAGACAUAUCUAAUCUAUAUCUAAAUCAUAUCUAAAUAUUGAUUGAAUAUAAAAUUUUAUACCUGAGUAUAGGUAGCAGAUCAUCACAUUCGAAAUCCAUAGUAGAUGGUUCUUCAUGAUGCUUGACAGCCGCAUAUGCGUCCGGCCUCUACGGGUAUCCACACAAAGCCCUUGUGCUAAUCGAUCUCCCCGAGAGUGCUAGCUCGCAAGGACACCAUCUUUUGGUUGAUCUAAGAGAAACAUGAUGGAGAUGAAAAAUAAGGAGACUCUCUUCUUUUCUUCCUGGAUUCAUGCAUCUGAUCUUUACAAUAGAGAUCAAGAGAAGAACCCUUUCUUCCCAAUUUUCACGCAUAAGAGAGAACCUUUCUCUCUUCCUUUCACACCCUUAAGAAGAAUUUUUCUUCUCUACUUUUUUAUGAUAAAAAUUAAAUUUAAUCUAAUUUUUCAUACUGAAAAUCAUAUAAAAUUUUGAGAUCUAGAAAAAUCCAAAAGGGAGAUCCAAGAGAAGAACCGUUCUUCUCUUUUCUCCUCCCUUUUUCUUCUUGAUUUAGAACUCAAGGAAGCCCGAAACGUCUAAUUAGAUUUUUUUGAUAUUUCUUCUCCAAAUUUUCAUAUUGAAAAUUAAAUUUAAUCUGAUUUUUAUCUUGAAAAAAAAUAGAAAAAAAAUUUAGAAGAAGAACUCCUUCUUCUUCAAGGCUGCGCACAAUAAAGAAGAUUCAUUUUCUUCCUUGAUCUAAAAACUUCAAGAAUCCCCAAACCAAAUCAGUUUUUUUUUGAUAUUUCUCUUCUAAAUCAAUAUGUUAAAAAUCAGAUCUAAUCUGAUUUUUAUCUUGAAAAAAAAUAAAGAAAAAAUCUGAAAGAAGAACUCCUUCUUCUUCAAGGUUGUAUGCAAGAAAGAAGACCCUUUUUCUUCCUUGAUCUUUCUUUCCUUGGGAAGAACUUUUCUUCUCCAAUUUUCUGCUGUAUAACCAACAGAAAUACCUCUCUUUGAUGCCCAAAAAUCUGUAAGAAAGGAUUAAAAAACAUACCAAGAAGAAGAGGAAAAAUAGGGUGUUGGCAUGUGGGAUGUUAGGGCAUCCAACUCUUGAACGCCCCCUUCCUCCUUUCUUUUUCUUUUUCUUUGGGGUGGCCAAAAGGGGAGACUUCCCUUUUUCACGAGGUGGAAGAGAGGAGAGGGGGCGGCCAGAAAGAGAUAUAGGGUGCCCCUUUGAUUUUCCAUAGAAGACUAAAGGGAGGCGCUAUCUCAUUUCACGCGGAUGAAAGAAAGGGGCGGCACUUCUUUGGGGCGUGGGAUUUCUUCACGGUAAAAAUUUGGGGCAUGGAGAUUAAAUAAAUCACAUGGGUUAGUUAGGUUUAGUCAUAUUCCAAAUAUAAUUCAAGAUCUUAGUCAAAUUUUAACUAAUUCUUGGACCCAAUUCUAAUUAACUUAGAAAUUAGUUAUAACAAACUAACUAGUUGGAUCCUAGCCCAAUUAUUAGGCUCCAAUUGAAUCACAAUUAGUUAGAUGAAAACCCCAUUGAUCCAGGGAUUGAUUCUUGAUUGAUUCAGAAAAACUAUUUGAUAAUAAGGCUUGAUCUAAUCAAGCCUAUUAUCCAAUAGAAUUUGAUCCAAUCAAAGUAUAUUAUCAAACUAAUUUCGUUAAUUUGAUUUUGUAUCCCUGAGAUCAAUUGGAGAAAGUUUUGUAAUUGAACAGGCUGCAUCCAAUUAAUCCAAAUCCAAUCUAAUUGAAUCCAAUUCAAUUAGAUCUAAUCCAAUCUCCAUUGCUCAAUCAAAUUGAGCUAAUUAACAAUCAUAUUGUUAAUUAAUUAUUCCUCUAAUUUACUAACCAUUAGUAAAUAAUUAUUACAACCUUUGCAUAGGAUUAAUUAUCAAUCAAAUUGAUAAUUAAACCCUUCAACGAUUUAUAAUCAUCGAUCAGUCAUUUGAUCAGACAGGUACUUCUAUGUGUGUGACCCCAUAAGUUUGAACCUAAGCUGGUAGCAUAAGAAUAAUUCUUGUACUAAUCGAUGUUACCAUCUAGCAAUAGGAUCCGACGUCCGCAUAGACUGAAUGUAUGCCUAGCAACACUUUAGAACCCAUGUAGAUAUAGUUACUGUAUAAUUUAUCCCUUUGACACUUGAUGCUCAAAGAUGACUUUGGGUUAAACUGUCAACCCAAGAAGAGGGGUCCACAUUGUGUCUCAACCUCAACAAUCCUGUGACUCCUCACUAAGACUACUUUGGUCAAAAUUUUGUUGCAUUGAAAUACAAUGAUGCAUUAUCUCUAAUUUUACUUGGAGCGGUCAAUCCCAUCUUGACUCGCACUCAGACUUUAUAAGUACUUGACUGUACCUAAAAAUCUUCCGUCAUCGAAUUAAAAAUUCAGAUAGUCCGAUAUUAAAGCACAGUGAGUUGCUUGCAAGUCACCGAAAUAGUCUCAGGUCCGAGGGACACAUAUACCCAUAUCCCAUCAGAGCAAUCCUUGAUAACAGAGUGCUUCGAAAGUGGUCACGCUCAGUAAAAUGUACUCCUUACUCGUAUGCCGUAUUCGUAUCACUACACGUCUUGGUUAAGAGGACAACCAACUAAUAUGACAUACAAUGAUCUAUACUCGAUAUUAUUAUCAUCUUUGUGAUAAUUGUAUCAUUUGGUCGCGAGCAGGAUUUAAGAACCACAUGAUAAAUCCUCCUUUAUCAUUUUGAAAGUAGUUCUAAGGAUUUCAUCAUAACAUAUGAGUUCUAUUUUAGAAGAUAUAUUUUUUAUGAUGAAUCUGCCAGAUAAUAUUUAUCAUUUUAUAAUUCAUAUACUUAUAUGAAGCACAAUCAUCUAUAACCUCGAUGAUUGAUUUUAGAACAUAUUUUUCAACAACUCUUACUUGGACUAAAGCCAAUCAGAUUGGUAUUAAAUAUCCAUCUUUCAUUUUAGAUCAUCGAACUCAUUAGAUCCGAUUGCUCUAGUCAAUAGGUCGGUCAAGUUCUUCUUUCAAUCGAUCUUCCUAAGGUCGGCUUUAUUUUGAUCUUAUCGAACCAAUUGAUUGCAAUGCAGAAAGUGUUUAGUUCACAGAUAGAGCAUCAAUUUUUCAGCUGGAGCUAUAGCUCUAGUACUGCUGUCAAUACAACAAAAUUGGACCAUCGAUGGAGGGUGCCUCUCCAAACUCGCUAAUGAACUUUCAUAACCAAAUAACUUCUUUACCAGCAUCAAAUACCGCAAAGAACUCCAUAUCACAAAUAAAAUUUGCUACUAACUAUUGCAUGGAACCUUUCUAGCAUAUUGCUCUCCUUUUAGGAUAAAAAUAUAAUCUNNNNNNNNNNNNNNNNNNNNNNNNNNNNNNNNNNNNNNNNNNNNNNNNNNNNAGAAGAGGUCCAUUAAGAGAGAAUCUAAUUUUUUUCAAGACAUGUCAAAACUUACUGUAAAGGUAUUCACUUCAUCAGUCAAAUCGAUGAAUUUUAUUACUCUUUGCAGUUCAUUUUCUUAUCUCAUUACAGAAUCAUUUAAAUAUUUCAAUUGAUUUGGAUUUAUGCUUCAUAAGCAAGACAUACCCAUGUCAAGAUAGAUCGUCAGAGAUUUUAAUGAAGUAAUAAGCCCUCUUUUGGCAUUAAUGUCUAUGAGUGUAAAUACAUCAAUAUAUAUCAUAACUUAGAACAUCGCUGGCUUAUUCAUCCUUUCCAAUAAAAGAUGAAUAAGUCAACUAUACCAAAAAUAGACUUCAAUGAUAUUGUCUAAUUUAGGAUGCCAGUCAAAUGUGUACACUAUACUAACAGGCUAUGAUACUAAGUUUAUGUCAUUUUUAAUUGUCUACUCAUUAUUGUAGUAUCAUUCACAAUGAUAUUACAAUAAUCAUACUUAUUAACACUAUUAAUAAGAUUGGAUAAAGAUGACAAUCAUUUAAAAUGACAUCUUUAGGAUUGAAAAUAAGUUCGAUGAUUCCUAAUGUUAAGACUGGAACAGACUUUCAUAUCAUACAUUCAGGAGUCUCUAGCCAUUUUUAAACCUUCUACUAUCCUGAAGUCUUUUGUAACUAUUUGCAAAUAUGACUUUCACUAUCGGUAUCCUAUACCUAGAUAGUAGUAUUACCAAUCGAGAAACUUCAAGGAGUUAUUACAUAACACCUUGAUCAGCAAUGAUUUGUUGAUUUCUCUUUUAAGCCUGUUUGGAUUAAUCUGAGACUUCUUGAUUAAUUCACUCAAAAAAUUAUAUUCAAUUUUUGAUACUGGNNNNNNNNNNNNNNNNNNNNNNNNNNNNNNNNNNNNNNNNNNNNNNNNNNNNNNNNNNNNNNNNNNNNNNNNNNNNNNNNNNNNNNNNNNNNNNNNNNNNNNNNNNNNNNNNNNNNNNNNNNNNNNNNNNNNNNNNNNNNNNNNNNNNNNNNNNNNNNNNNNNNNNNNNNNNNNNNNNNNNUUACCAAUCGAGAAACUUCAAGGAGUUAUUACAUAACACCUUGAUCAGCAAUGAUUUGUUGAUUUCUCUUUUAAGCCUGUUUGGAUUAAUCUGAGACUUCUUGAUUAAUUCACUCAAAAAAUUAUAUUCAAUUUUUGAUACUGGCUAUCGAAGUUAGGUCUGAUAACGUUGUCACUGUCUAACAAAGCGAUAAUUUUCUAGCCAUUUCUAAAAAGAGAAUAAUUGACCUUUAGUAUAUAAAAAAUUUUAAGCCGAAAGACUUGAAUUUUAGUCUAAAGAUUCUCUCACUAUUUUAUACGAAUUUAUAGCCUCUAUUUUCAAUUCGAAGAAUUACCUUAAUUCUUUAGUGGGUACUAAAAUCCACACAGACUAUAUACAGGUCUGAGUAUGGCUCGGCCAACCUAUAUGCAUCUACGGAUAGGUUCUCAAUCAAUUAUUUCUCUAAAUAAUUUUUAGUAAUUAAUUUUAUCUCAAAUUUUAUUUUAGUAGGCAAUGGGCCUCCACUGAAAGUCCUGGUUAGGUCCUACCAUUAACAUGAACCUACUCAAUGAUUCUAACUAAUGAAUAAUCAGAUCCGAGUAUGGCUCGGUCAAUCCAACUAUUCAUCAGAUAGUACAAUAGAGUCAUCAUAUGAUGAAUAAUAAUUCUAUCAUUCAGAGAAACACCAGACGGAUAGCACCUGCAAUGUCAAUCUGAAAUAAUAGACCCAUCACCAUUCACCUUAAUGGGAGGCUAUGAUCUAGUUAUCAUCAUAACUAGCUUAUUUUAUAGACUUAAUAAUUUAAAAAUUUUGGUUAAUAUAUCUUAGAGGACAUCAGUUGACCUACAAGUCAUAAUUCUCCCACUGACUUUACCAAGUCAUGAGAAGCAUUAGUAACUAGUUGGUCCAACCAGCAUGUCGUAGAUCCUCCCACUGACUUUAUCAAGUCAUGAGAAGGAUUAGAGACAAGUCGGUCUAGGGCAUCUAAAUCAGUCAUACUGAUUAACUUGAACAACAUGGGUCAACUUGAGUCACCUGGUGAUCUAAUCAGCCUAAUGACUUGGGUUCAACCUUUGAGCCUGAAUCAAAGUCCAUUUAAUUUGAUCAAAGAUAUGGACUUGAUCAACUACAACUAUUAUUUUUGAUCUAGAAUAUCCUUGAUCUAAUCUAAAUUAACUAUUGGUUAGAUUGAAUCAACUACUCUUUUUAGUCCAUUAAGUCUUUGAUUCUAACCUUAGGUCUAACCCGAUUAAAAGGACCUGAUUUGAGCUAUUCCAUGCCUCAUAUUUUAUGCAAUGUUAUUAGAUCUUUAAUUAUAAUUCUAAAUCUAAAAUAUAUUUCUUAAUUCUUAAUUAAGUAUAGCAUCAAUAUGGGUUAAGGUUAUGAAAUAAUUUCUUAUGUAAAUCUUUUAUAUUAAAUUAUAAAACUUUUAGAUCAAAUCUAAAUUUUCAUGAUUUUCAAUCAAAACAAUUUUGAUGAAUCAAUAUUAGAUAUAACUAGUUUCUUCAUAAUUUGUAUCACAUACAACAACACCUAAGAUUUCAAGAUCUAAGAUUUUGCAAGAAAGUAAGUUUUUUCUUUUCACUUUCUUCUUCAUGGGACCUCACAGUGGCACCCCUACAUGCCAUGAAGAGCACCCCAUUGAAUGGGAAGAGAGGGUCAUGUAACCCUACUUACUUCUAUGACAGGACGGCUUGGUGAUUACCCAAUCCGAGUACUUUGCUACUCAGAACAUCUAAUCUUAUUCAUAUAUCAUAUAUGCAAAAAUUUAGAUCAAAUCUAAAUUGUAUUAGAUCUGAUUUUACAAUAGAUCAUAUCUAAAAUCAGAUCAUAACAUAUCUCAUGUAUUGCUAAAUCUAGAUUUCAACUUUACAUGCAUAUAUGUUCAUGUCAUAACGAACCUUCACUCUGAUACCAUUUGAAGGGAAGCAUGAUGGGUGAUGUGCAUGUAUUUUUAAAAUUUUUAUAAUGAAAUAUAUAUAGAUUAAAUAAUUUAAUCUAUAAUGCAUGCAUAGAUCAAAUCUAAAUCACCAUACAGGAUCUAUAACAUGAAUUAAUAUGCAUGUAUGUACAUCUCAAAUCUAAAAUUCAGCAAGUACAGGACAUAUCUAAUCUAUAUCUAAAUCAUAUCUAAAUAUUGAUUGAAUAUAAAAUUUUAUACUUAAGCAGAUCACCGUAUUCAAAAUCUGUGAUAGAUAGUUCUUCAUGAUGCUUGACAGCCGCACACACGUCCGACCUCUACGGGUAUCCACAUGAAGUCCUUGUGCUGAUCGAUCUUUCCAGGAGUGCUAGCUCGCAAGAAUACCAUCUUUUGAUCGAUCUAAGAGGAAUAUGAUGGAGAUGAAGAAUAAGGAGACUCUCUCUUUUUCUUCCAAGAUCCAUGCAUCUGAUCUUUACAAUAGAGAUCAAGAAAAGAAUCCUUUCUUCUCAAUUUUCACGCAUAAGAGAGAAUCUUUCUCUCUUCCUUUCAUAUCCUUAAGAAGAAUUUUUCUUCUCUAAUUUUCUAUGAUGAAAAUCAGAUCUAAUCUGAUUUUUCAUACUGAAAAUUACAUAAAAUCUUGAGAUCUAGAAAAAAUCAAAAGAGGGAUCCAAGAGAAAAAUCGUUAUUCUCUUUUCUUCUCUCUUUUUCUUCUUAAUCUAGAACUCAAAGAAGCCCCAAACACCCAACCAAAUUUUUUUUAGNNNNNNNNNNNNNNNNNNNNUCAGAUUUUUUUUGAUAUUUUUUCUCUAAAUCUAUAUAUUUAAAAUUAGAUCUAUUCUGAUUUUUAUCUUGAAAAAAAUAAAAUUUUUUUUUGAAAGAACUUCUUUUUCAAGGCUGCACGCAAGAAAGAAGACCCUUCUUCUUCCUUGAUCUUUCUCUCCUUGGGAAGAACUUUUCUUCUUCAAUUUUUUAUUGUAUAACCAGUAGAAACACCUCUCUUUGGUGUCCAAAAAUCAGCAAGAAAGGAUUAAAAAACAUACUAAGAAGAAGAGGAAAAACAGGGUGUUGGCAUGUGGGAUGUUGGGGCGUUUGGACUUCCCCUUCCUCCUUUCUUUUUCUUUUUCUUUGGGGCGGCCAAAAGGGGAGACUUCUCUUUUUCAAGGGAUGGAAGAGAGGAGAGGGGACUGGCAGAAAGAGAUAUAGGGUGCCCUUCUGAUUUUCCACGAAAGACUAAAGGGGGGCACCAUCUUAUUUCACGUGGAUGAAAGAAAGGGACGGCACUUCUUUGGGGCAUGGGAUUUCUUCAUGGUAAAAAUUUAGGGCAUGGAGAUUAAAUAAAUCACAUGGGUUGGUUGGGUUUAGUCAUAUUCCAAAUAUGAUUCAAGAUCUUAGUCAAAUUCUAACUAAUUCUUAGAUCCAAUCCUAACUGACUUAGGAAUUAGUUAUAACAAACUAACUAAUUGGGUCCUAGCCCAAUUAUUAGACUCCAAUUGAAUCACAAUUAGUUAGAUGAAAAUCUCAUUGAUCCAAAGAUUAAUUCUUGAUGGAUUCAAGAAAGCUAUGUGAUAAUAGGGUUUGAUCCAAUCAAGCCUAUUAUUCAAUAGGAUUUAAUCCAAUCAAAGCCUAUUAUUAAACUAAUCUCAUUAAUUUGAUUUUGUAUCCCUGAGAUCAAUUGGAGAAAGCCCUGUAAUUCAAUAGGACUGCAUCCAAUUAAUCCAAAUCCAAUCUAAUUGAAUCCAAUUCAAUUAGAUUUAAUCCAAUCUCCAUUGCUCAAUCAAAUUGAGCUAAUUAACAAUCAUAUUGUUAAUUAAUUAUUUUUUAAUUUACUAACCAUUAGUAAAUAAUUAUUACAACCUUUGCAUAGGAUUAAUCAUCAAUCAAAUUGAUAAUUAAAUCUUUCAAUGAUUCAUAAUCAUCGAUCAGCCAUUUGAUUAGACAGGUACUUCUAUGUGUGUGAUCCUAUAGGUUCGAACCUAAGUCGGUAGCACAAGAAUAAUUCUUGUACUAAUCGAUAUAACUAUUUAGCAAUGGGAUUCGAUAUCCGAAUAGGUCGAAUGUAUGCCUAUUAAUACUUUAGAACCUAUGUGGAUAUAGUUACUGUAUAAUUCAUCCAUUUGAUACUUGAUGCUCAAGGUCGACUUUGGGCUACACUGUCAACCCAAGAAGAGUAGUCCAUAUUGUGUCUCAACCUCAAAAAUCCUAUGACUCCUCACUAGGACUACUUUGGCUAAAGUUUUGCUGAAUUGAAAUACAACGAUGCAUCAUCUCCAAUUUUAUUUGGAGCGGUCAAUCCCAUCUUGACUUGCACUCAGACUUCACAAGUACUUGACUGUACGCAGAAAUCUUUCGUCACCGAAUUAGAAAUUCGGAUAGUUUGAUAUCAAAGCACAGUGAGUUGCUUGCAAGUCAUCGAGACAGCCUCAGAUCUGAUGAACACAUAUACUCAUAUUUCAUUAGAGCAAUUCUUGACAGCAGAGUGCUCCAAAAGUGGUCACGCUUAGUGAAAUAUACUCCUAUAUAUCAUCCGUAUGCCGUACCUGUGUCACUACACGUCUUGGUUAAGAGGACAACCAACUAAUAUGGCAUACAAUGACCUAUACUCGAUACAAUUAUCAUCCUUGUGACAAUUGUAUCAUUUGGUCACGAGCAAGAUUUAAGAACCACAUGAUAAAUUCUUCUUUAUCAUUUUGAAAGUAGUUCUAAGGACUUCAUCAUAACAUAUAAGUUCUAUUUUAGAAAAUAUAUGCCUUAUGAUAAAUCUGUCAGAUAACACUUAUCAUUUUAUAAUUCAUAUACUUAUAUGAAGCACAAUCAUCUAUAACCUUUCUCGAUUGAUGAGCUUAUUUAGUGGGCAUAAGUUAGUAACUUAGCUGACAAUCAGUGUCCCACUAAAUUCAGUGUUGUACAUUCUACUAGUCAUAUGAGAAAGUAGUGACUAGAUGUAGUUGGAAAUAAUUAACGUGCCAAAGGCAACCUUUUUGUGGAGGCUCAUUUUAUUGCAAUAAAUUCCAUUAUGUGUCGGAACAAAUCUGCUAUGAUCAAAAUAAAACAAUAGUAGCCAACUAUUGAUCCCAUAAGAAAAUGCUAAUGCAUAUAGAUGAUCAAACAAACAUAUAUAAUAUAUCUAAUGAUAAAUUACAAAAGCUAGGCAUGUCUAAUCACCAAAUGGUAUCAUAAGGUAUCAUCUUGCCGUCUAAAUAUCACCAUUUUAUUAGCAUUCCAUUAAGAGGUAGUCAGGUGUUGGUGUAAUAUAAGAGUAGGAAUCUACCUAGCCUCUGGCAUGAAGUUUUGACCUAACCAGAGUUUUUAGAUGGAUUGGUGUAUUCAGUAAUUUAACUGCACAUACUAGAUUUAUUUGCAAAUUGCUUCUAAAAAGUUGAGUCCUUGUAGCAUUGAAACCAAGUCACCUGAGGGAAUAUAAUUCACUAGGUCGAUCUCAAAUACCUUCCAUGCCGAUUAACCUGAAAUUAUGCAGAAUGCAUCACCGAAAGAGAGUUUACAAAUGUUCCCAAUACAACUUCAAUUGUAGCUUUUCAAGGUUUUCUUGAUUCCAUUUUGUUAUUGGCAGGUAUGCGUGCGUGUCUACGUAUAUUAAAACAAAAAAAAAGAUUAUAAAGAAAGAAUGGGUAGUAUGCUCGGAGAAAAAAAGAAUGGUAGAAAAAUACUGGUUGAAUUGAGAAAUUGCAUCAGAUAUGAAUGAUAUACAAAGACAUGAUCCACUAACAGUAAGCUCCUAGAAAAUCUUAACUACUUGCAGAAAAUCCUACCCACAAAAGGAUAGGAAUGGAAUUAUUUGAUUUGGUAAACAGAAAAAUAACUUGAUAAACAGAAAAACAAAUACAAGAAAAUAGCUACCAGUAAGACGCACUAAUUUUUGACACUCCCCCUUGGUACAUACUUCCGAUCAAUAACUCCAAGAGCAUCUCUAAAAUUCUCAAACUUAGACUUUGCUAAAGCCUUUGCGAAUAUGUCUGCUAGUUGAUCAGUUGUGAAGAUUCCCUUCAGCUCAAUUUCUUGAUUCAGCACCUCUUCUCGAAUGUAGUGAUGGCAAGCUUGAUGCAAGCUUGGAUUAGAUGCAAGCUUGAUGGCAUUUUCAUUGUCACAUUUAAUCUGCACAGCAUAAUUAAUUUUGCACAGCAUAUCUUCCAUCAAAGCUUUCAGCCACAUACAUUCUUGUGCAGCCAUUGUUGCUGCCACAUAUUCAGCUUCAGUACUAGAUAAAGCAACAAUAGAUUGCUUCUUGCUACACCAGGAAACCAUAGUUGAACCAGUACUGAAACAAUAUCCUAUGGUUGAGCAUUUAUCAUUUACAUCUCCAACCCAAUCUGCAUCAGUGAGACCACUCAACAAANNNNNNNNNNNNNNNNNNNNNNNNNNNNNNNNNNNNNNNNNNNNNNNNNNNNNNNNNNNNNNNNNNNNNNNNNNNNNNNNNGUGAGAGAGAAUUGAGUGUACAAGGGUUGAGGGUGAGGUCUCCUCUUGUAAAAUUUUUUUUUCAUAGUGAAGUUUGCAUGUCCUGUGGAGGCGAGCCCUUUUGUGGCUGAUCCACGUAUUUUGAUUGUUUUCUUUUUGUUUUGUUUCUUUUUUCUUCCUGCUGCAUCGCGUGGUACUGAAAGGAUCUUGGGAGGUGGUGUCCUGGCCAGACAUCCACCCAACAAUAAGCAAGAGAACCCUUUACGUAACGCAGGAUUCUUUUAGCAACAUCUAAAUGAGAAGUUCUUGGACUUUGCAUAAACUGAGAAAUGACACCAACAGAAUAUGUGAUUUCUGGUCUUGUGAUAGUUAAAUAAAUUAAGCUACCAACAAGUUGUCGAAAUCUUCUAGCAUCCUUCAACAACUUCCCUUCCUCUUUCUUGAACUUAAGAUAUGGUUCCAUAGGAGUAGCCUUUCUUUUGACUCCCCCAUGCCAAAACGCUGCAACAAUCCCUUUGCAUAUCCUUUUUGAGAAAUGAAAUAUCCUUGAUCUGAUUUUUCACUUUCCAGACCAGGAAAACAGCCAACAUCACCCAAAUUUUUCAUCUCAAAUCGAACAGCCAAGUUAUUUCUCAACAAGAAAAUCUCAUCUUCAUUAUCUCCGGUAAUUAUCAUAUCAUCCACAUACAACAAAACCAGCAGAUGCAUAUUUGAUUCUAAUUUUACAAACAAACUAGAAUUUACAUUUGAGACUUUGAACCCACAAAAGAUAAGAUACUGAGCAAUCUUAUCAUACCAAGCAUGUGGUGCUUGUUUCAAGCCAUAUGGCACUUUCUUUAGCCGACAAACAUGGUGAGGAAAUUGCUUGGAGAUGAAUCCUUGGGGCUGUUUCAUGAACACUUCGCGAUCCAACUCUCCAUAAAGAAAUACAUUCUUAACAUCAAGUUGCCACAACUUUCAACUCUUAAAUGCAACAAGUGAAAGAAUUGAUCUCACCGUCACCAUUUUAGCGACCGGGCUGCAGGUCUCCUAAUAGUCUAACCUAUAACUUUGAGAAAAACCACGAGCAACCAGACGAGAUUUGUAUCUGUCGAUUGUGCCAUCUGAUUUCUUCUUCAAGCGAUAAAUCCAUUUGCAACUGACUGGCUCACAAUUUUCUGGUUUUGGCACAAGCUCCCAUGUCUGAUUUUUGUUUAGAGCUUCAAUUUCUUCUUGCAUAGCUACCUCCUAUUCUGGACGAUCCUUGACUUCUUCAUAAUUUGCUGGUUCUUCGUCAUCUAAUGCUCCAGCAAAAAAACACGAGGUGACAGUACAAUUAUUGAGUUGAACCUCAUAAUCUUUGAAAUAAUUUGGCUGUCUUUUCUCCCUUGUUGAUCUCCUUACUAUUUGCUGCUCAUUAUCAUCUGAAUUUGAGGUAUUUGGACCAAGAAUUUCAUCAUUGUUAGAGGCCUGCACAUUUUCUUCAGGAACCAGUUGCAAAUUUUCUUGAUCACUAUCAAGAGUAACAUCUUGAAUAGGAAUUUUCUGGGCAGCAUAAUAGGAUGACACCUCAUCGAACACAACAUCUCUAGAAGUGACAAACUUCUUGCUUUCUGGAUCCAUACACCUCCACCCUUUCCUACAUGAAUCAUAGCCAACAAAUACACACUUCUUUGCUUUCGGGUCAAGUUUAGUUUGGUUAGAUUUUGGAAUAUGAACAUAAGAAAUUGAACCGAAUACCCGAAAGUAAUUUACAUUUGGCUUUUCAUCAUAGAGAAUCUCAAAAGGAGAUUUUUCUUUACCUGGCCAUGGAGGUAGCCGAUUGAUCACAUGGCAAGCACAUUGAACAGCUUCCGCCUAAAGCUCUCGAGGGAGAUUUUUAUCAUGCAGCUAUGAAAGACUUGUAGAGAUGAGAUGAGCUAAUUUUCUUUCAGCAACACCAUUCUGCUGAGGGGUGUUUGGGCAUGUCAUUUGUCUCAAAAUACCAUUGCUGUCACAAUAUUUGAAGAAAUCAUCUGAUAUAAAUUCCCCUCCAUUGUCGCUCCGCAAACAUUUAAUUUCAUCCCAAACUCCUCUACAGUGUUUUUAAAUUCAGCAAACAUUGAUAGUGCUUCACUCUUCUCCUGCAAAAAUUUCACCCAAGUGGAUCUUGAACAAUCAUCUACCAACACCAUGAUAUAGUGUUUACCACUAUAACUUGGUGUCUUCGUUGGUCCCAUCAAAUCUAUAUGGUAGAUCUACGAUUUGAUGACUGCUUGAAGGGAAGAUGAUGUGACUUGUCAAAUUGACAGCCUUGACAAAUCACAUCCUCAUGUACAUUCUUCAAAGUUGGCAUACCAUCUACCAAUUUCUUUGAGGAAAGUUGUUGUAGCAUUUGAUAGCCCAAAUGGCCCAGGCGAGCAUGCCAAAUUGCUGCACUAUCAAUUUGGCUUGUCUUCUUCACAUAAGCCUCCCCCGCUGACAUAACAAAUAAAGAGCCUUUCUUUUCACCCGCAAGAACAACAUCAGCAGCUACAUUCUUCACAUUAUCAAGAACCUUCACAUCAUUUGGACCAAACAAAAUAUAUUUUUCAGAAUUAGUAAUUUGAGAAACUGAAACUAAAUUUCUCUUCAGAUCUGGAAGACAUCAUUCAGCUUGAUGAUCCUUGUAUCAUCAGUGCCAAUCUUUACAACUCCUUCUUUUGCUACUGGAUAUGUCGAAUUAUCUGCUGUAACAAUAACUCGCUCUCCAUUAUGUUGGCGUAGCUCUGAGAGUAGUGAAUCAUUUUCAAUUACAUGGUGAGAGCAGCCCGAAUCAAUGAUCCACUCCUCCUUGCAAUUGUCAUGAUUGAAAAGAACUUGAGCAGCAUCAUUCUUUUCUUCAACUACUUCAGUAGUGAAGCAUUGCUCCCAUUUGAGUUGUUCACCUCCAUUUUCACUUGCGACAUUUGCUUUGGAAAGCUUCACUCUACAAUUUUUCUUGAUGUGAUCGAUUUUUCCACAGCUAUAGCACUUGAUUGGGUUAUUAUUCUGUGAGCUGCCACCAGUAGCUUUUUCCUGAUCAUUUGAGCCUUUUUCAUUAUUCUUAUUCUCUGCCGAAGUUUUCUUCUUGUUAUGCUUUCCCUUUGAGAAGAGAACAGCAUCUAGAUCAGAGUUCUUUGCCAUUUGCUUUGCCAAGACCUCUUGGUUGGAAAGCAAAUUCUCUAAUUCUUCAACCGAAGGCUGAUUUGCUCAUCCUUGAAUGGAGGUAACAAAAGGCGUGUACUCCUUCAAUCCACGAAUGAGAUACCGACGUAAACGUACUUCACUGAUUUUCUCAUCCGCAUCUAAUUCUGAAAUUUCAGCAUAAAUACUUUUAACACACAAGAAAUAUUCAGAAAUAGACAUACCUCCUUGUGUUAGCAUUGCCAACUCAUUCUCCAACAGCUGUAACCUAGCUGUAUUCUUCUUUGAAAAAAGCCUCUCAAGUGUCUCCCAGACUUCUUUUGGGGAAUUAACGUCACGGAUGUGAUUGAUGAACUCUUUGCUUAUUGAUGUCCUCAAGAUAAAGAGGGCUUUACCACACUUGAUCUUCCAUUUCCUUCUUGGUUCAGCAUUUUCCGGAGUGUCUGCAGGAAUUUCUGCAUCAGCACCAACAACCAGCUCCCACAAGUCUUGACCUUGCAGAUAGGCAUCCACACACAUUCUCCAGUACUUAUAGUUUGUGCCUACAAGCUUCUCAACACCAUAUUGUGUGUUAGAACUGUUUCCCCUAUUUGCAAACUCCAUAUUUCAUAACAAGAACUUCCUCUUCACACCUUUCCAUCUCCUCCAACAGGACAACAACAGCUUGAUAGACAAGAAGAGAGAAAGAACAGCAAAGGGCCUCAACCAGGCUCUGAUACCAUAAAACAAAAAAAGAUUAUAGAGAAAGAAUGGGCAGUAUGCUGGGAGAAAAAAAAAACUAGAGAAAAAUACUGGUUGAAUUGAGAAAUUACAUCAGAUACGAAUGAUAUAUAAAGACAUGAUCCACUAACAGGAACCUCCUAGAAAAUCUCAACUACUUGCAGAAAAUCCUACCCACAAAAAGAUAGGAAUGAAAUUAUUUGACUUGGUAAAUAGAAAAACAACUUGGUAAAUAGAAAAGCAAAUACAAAAAAAUAGCUACCAGUAAGAUGCACUAAUUUUUGACAUAUAUAGGUGUUUGCAUGCAAUGCAUGCAUUUGCAUGUAGAAGUGCAAUGAGUGACCCAAAAAUCCUCUACAUUCAUGAGAGUAGAUAAUAGAAACACUUGAGCCUAUUAUUCCUAGUUGUCUAUGGUAGAUAGACAUCACAAUAAAGCACUCGGAUUGCAACAUGCAUCAGCUUCAUAGGACAACAACACUACCUAUACUCUUCCAUUGUAUUACUUCCAUCAAGUACUCCAUUCUGCACCAAUGAUAAAAUCAUUCCCUUCUUCCUAUAACAAGCAUGUUAAAAUGGUCCAACCUUGCCAACAAUUAGUGCAAAAACUCAUGUACCUAAGUGAACUCAUUUGGGGAUCUAUGCUUAGAAAGAUGUGUUAGUCAUAAGGGAUUUCUAAAUAGCUUCAGUUGCAGCUCCAAAAAUAAAAGAUAGGGACAACAUACCCCAGCUCUCUAGUGUGCCCCACUCAGGCUUUCCACUUCAACAGGGCAGGCUUCUUCCCAAAUACUAAUGAACAACCACCAAUUAACACACUUAGGAUCUGUUUAGGUUUGCUGCUAGUAGUAGAGUUUUAGGAAGUAGAGUUUUUGAAAGUUUCCUUAAUAGAACUUUUAACAAAAUAUUAUUUAUUGUUUGGUAACUAUAUUUAUAAAAUACCAUAAAACUUUAAUAUCUGUUUGCCAGCCAAAUUGACAAGGUGCUUUUAGUGCGAGGACAUGUUAAUAGGGAAUGUUGCAUAAUACUUUUGUUGGUACAUGUUAUAUGACUUCAUCAUCUGAGUACGUGGCAAUAGAUUAUUAUUUGAAUCAUGAAUGUUCUUUCAGAUUACAUUGAUCGUUUACUGAUCUGCUUCUUCAAUCUGAUAUUUGAUCAGUCUAACUCACCCAGAGCUAUUCUUAAAGUAUAUAUGAUACUCAUCUUAGUUUGUGGCCGAUCUGUAAUGAAUUAUGUCAGUCUUUAGCCAGUAUGAUUAUUAAGUUUUGAAAGGAUACAUGAUAUUCAGUUCCGUCAGUUGCAGAUCUAAGCUGUGUCACGUCGGUAAAAUACCGAUAUACCAUUAGAAUACAGACGGUUAACUGGCAGCUGUCAUCUAGCUAAACAUUAGCUGUCUUCCAGCUAUACUACAGUCAAUCAUUAUGUAGACAAACAUCCCACGAUCUCUAUACAGCUGACCAUUCUUGUCGACUAUUUUUCGAAGCCUUAUAGCAACAACUUUUAAUUUUUUUCACUCUUUAUAGGUACCAUCAAGAAUUGUUAUUAUAAAGCAUUCUUAAUAUAUAGAUUAUUUAUUUAUAAUAAUAUGAUAUUAAAAUAGUACAAUAUUAUAACAUAAUAAUAUAAUAUUAUAGAAAUAUAAUAAUAUUUUAUUACUAAAAUAUGAGCAAUGGCAAUGCCGGUUAGGGGCCCAAACCCUAAAAAAACUGCAAUCCCUCUCCCUCAUCUCCCCGCACCCCCCCCCCCACAAUCAAAUCCUAGAAUUCUUGACGAUCAGACCAUAGAUCUUGAUUUUGCCUUGUAGUUUGAUGUGUUGAUCUAGUGUGUGGUCCUCGGCAUUCAAUCCUCCAAGUAUCCUUCUUCAAGCCACUUUUGUUGGGGUUAGACCAUGCCCUUGCCCACCUCUUGUCACCUCCCUUCUUGGGAAGACCCUUCACUCACCCACCUCCUCCUUUGUCGCCUCCACUCCUCCUACCCAAUCUCUUUGGCUCAAUUGUCAUGACCGCACUACUUAUGCCUUUAGAAUAGGCUGGGCCUUCAAAAUAGACUAGGGUAGGACAUUAGGCAUCAGGGUUGGGGUGGGGGAAGAGGGAGGGUGUUCAAAAUUUUUUUUAAAAUUUAAGAUAUAUAAUUACUAGACCUACUAUUUAUCUACUAAAAUGAUCCUAAAGUUUGAAGUAUUAAUUAUACUAACUAGACACAUAACCAGCUAGUGGACAAAUCUAAGCCGUCCAUGUUGAAUUGGAUGGCCACAGAUAAAACAGCGAUAAAAGAACUAAAAUGCCCUUCAGAGUACCAUAGAAAAAUCAUAAAAUAAUAUAACAUAAAAUAUAAUUGAUUUAUAAAUUAUAUAUUUUAUUUUAGUUUAAAUAUUAUAAUAAAUAAUGUAAUUAAUUUUUAACAAUAUAAUAACUAAAAAUUGCAGUGAUAUUUUGGUCACAUGAACAGCUUCCUAUAUAUGGAACAUGUUAAGAAAAAUUAAUUAGAGGUCUAAACCUGGAAUUUUAAAUAAUCCACUAGUGAAGAGUUACAAAUUGACGUGAAAUUGGUAGAUGUUGCCGAGUUCAUGUGGGAUAUGUCAUAUGCUGAUAGCACAUUUUGUUCCAAGUCCCUAGUUAAAACCUUUAAUCACAUGCCAGUCAUAUACUUACAAGGUUUACGCAUAGGUGGCUGCACCUGGCUUGCAGCAUUCAUCAGUUUGAUAAUUUAGUGUGCACGAACACCUACUUUGGCAUGUUAAGGGAUAGUAUCAUAAUUGAAACAAAAUUAAUUGUCAAUAUCAUAGUAGCUUAGUAACAUACAACUAUUAACAUACAAUAAAUUUCCGACGAAACUUAUGCUGGAUCCCUGAGUUUUUUUCUCGGUUUUUCACAUAAAAAAUAUGAGAACCAACCAUACAUUUCAUAGAAAUGAUGAAAUGAGAGCACGCAUGCAAAACCGGCCGACGAGCUAGGAGGAGCCCUGCAACACAAGGGGAACAGAAGAAUUAGAGCGCCCACCAGAGCAACUAUAUAUAUAUAUAGAUCGGACAAUAAAGGAGGAGAAAUCAGAGAUAUCAGAGCAUAUCAUCCAGCAGUGGAGACAUAGGCAGCAAAAUAGUUCAAGUCUAGAAAUCAUCCACCAGUAGCCAUUGGUGGCCAAGGAACAACAUUCCCUAUUCACUUCAUUCUCAUGUGCAAUCCUCUUGUCCAAUCCAGAAACAGUGUUAUGCUCAAUUCUUGAGUUACUUCAGCACACACUAGAGGUGGUAGCAGCAAUCUUUUGAUAUAUAGCUCCCAUGUAGGAGUAGCCAAGCAAGGAAUGUUAAGAAAGGUUGGGGGGGGAGCGAGAUUCAUUUGAGAUCCCACAACCCCUUCAAGAAGAUGUUUUCUAGCACCAAAAAUAUUAGAAAUGUGAGAUCAUGACCUCCUUCCAAUACUCAAACUUGUCCAACAUCCUCCCACCUCUCUUCAGCCAUGAUCCUUUGUGGACAUGCCACACAGAUACAGUGCUCAAGCGGCCAAACAGACCACAAACAAUUCCUUUUAUCAUGAUUCAUAUGAAUACAUCCAGUUGUUGACCGCAUUAGUGUACUUAUGGUUAACAGUACAUGAACGCAUUGAAAGCUGGGUGUUUAGGUGUAGAUUGCAAUCAGGAGUGCUACUAGCUAGAUAAUAACAAAUAGGCCUCCCUUUCUUCCGGCACUGUGAAAUGUAAAACUUGAAAUCCAAGCCAUUUAUUCGGGACUCAGAGGAUGUAUGUGUCCCGAUAGUUUUAUAAGGUGAAGUUUUGCUGUCGGCCUGUUUUGGUCUGAAUAGAAUAUCUUUUAGUGAAAGGAAUAAGACACAUUUUGGACUUGGACGUAUCGUACUCUAAGCUUAAAUUACUAUAUCUUAUGUUUGGUUGGGAUCUUAAGAGGAAGGAUGGAUUGGGUUGGAAGGAUGAUAGCCCCUAUCAAUAGUUUGGUUCAAAAAAAUCUUAUAGAGGAGAUGGAGAGGGAUUGCCAAAUCACCCUAGCUCAUUAAUUUGUAUCCUUCUAAAUUAGAAGAAAGGAUGGAUGGAGCAUAUGAUCAGAAUAAGUUUUUAUGUUGACAAAUAACUACUUUUUUAAUUUUUCAUUUAUUUUAUUUAUAUAUAUUAUUAUUUUACCUAUAUGAUUAAAUUUUAUUACCAAUUAUUUAAUUUUAAUACAUAAUUUUUAUAAUUAUAAGUAAAUAAUUAGAAUUAUCUUCUAUUUUCUAUUUAUAUUUACUGUUUUUACUUAACUAUUUGAAUAAAAUUAAUCAACUAUUUAAAUUAAACUAUAAAUUAAUUAGUUAUUUAUAUAAUUAAUAUAAUAUAAAUUAAUUCAUAUGUAAUUAGUUUAUAAAAUUAUUUAUUUAAUUAAACUAAAUAAAAAUUAAAUAUUUAUUAAUUUUAUAAAAUAAAAAAUAUAAAGAUUAUAAGUUUAUAUAUUGCCCUACUUCUUUAUUGCAAAUAAGUAUUAUAAAUUCAUAAUAAUAAUAUUUUUAAUUAAAAGAUAAUUUAUAAAAAAUACCAUACGAAUAUCAUUCAUCCUCCUUUUUAUUUCUCUUAUACCAAAUAGAAGAGGGAAUCAUUCAUCCUUUUAUAUUUUAACCAAACACAGGCUUAAAAUCUUAGAUGCUAUUUUUAUAGGGUAUUUUUAAAUAAUAACACCCAUAAAUUUCUGAGGGUAAAGUAAAAGAUAAAUGAUAUCUCAAAUAAUAUACUUAGUGGCGCUAGAGAUACAACUUACUUUGAAAAUAUAUUUUCUUUUAUAAAUAAGGUUCUUGAUCUAAUAUGAUCCAAACACCCCUACUACCUAUAACUCUGAUCUUCUUAAAUCUGAGCCUCCUUACAAAUUUUAAAAGAGAAAAUAUUGUAAAACUGAUGGUAGACCUUUUGAAUCUAGAAGAGGUACAAGGAUGAAAAAGUGAAAGAUCUCCGUGAAAGCUUCUUUACUUUCUAUUGAUGCUGAAUUCAUUUCUAAGAUCAUACUCCUACACUCAAUUGUAGGCAUGCAUUUCUUAUUUCCUUCAUAUUUUUAAUUUCUUUAAUUAUUUCAAUUAUUUGCACAUUUUAGUAUGUUAUCGUAUUAUUGUCUGACAUAUUCGAUCUCUCUAUACCUUGCACAAAAUUAUGUCGAUUUUCUUUAUUUAUUCUGAGGUACUAAUAAUGAUUUUGUUGGGAGCUUAUUAUUCUCUUUUUAUACCAAGAGAUCCAUCCCCAAAACCUUAUCCCAUUAUAAUAGUCGAGAUCGAGUUAUUUAUGGAUAAACAACUUGACCCACUUACACACAUGGAGAUAGAGAUAGAGGUACCCAUAUAGAGAGAGAGAGAGCUGCUGCUAGCUAGGGAUAGAGUAUUUCAAGGUUUGAUACUCAGUUAUGAAUUUUAAGACAACACCUUCAAACCCCAACAUGAACUCAAGAGAGUUACAAUUACAUUUUGGAAUAAUUGCUCCAACUCAAUUUACAUGCAUGCAGUUGACAAAAGAGCCAGUCAAUUGAAAGUCGUAAGCAGGAGACCAAGCAUACUUGAAUGUAAUUGGAUGUUCUUCAAGUAUAGCGCUUCCAUUGUUUAGAAUACAGUUCUGGUCAUCAGUUGGUCUAAUAAUAUCUGGAUUCACUGGCUCGGUACUUUCAAGCCCAUUGCACGACACCAUAACAUAUGAUUGAGGACAUUGACAGGUGUUGUUGACAACUACUUUAUACUCUGGUUUGCCUUUGAUGACAACCCCUGUCUCGUAUUGGCUCACCUUCAUGUCUGAGGUGCUGCAAAAUACUGCAGAUCCUGCAUAAAUUAUUUAAUUUGUCUGUUAGCAUAAUUUUUUUAAUAUAUAGUUACUGUGUCACCUAGAUUAUUUUUAUUUGAAAAGGAUAGACCAUCCAAAAUGGAAAUAGAAGAUAAGCUUAAAGAUUUAAAUGAAAAUAAAAAAUAGAAGAGAAAAAAGAUGGCCUACUUGAUGGUAUCCAAUUAUCUUUUUGGCAAGGGGAUUAGAAGAGCAAUAAUUUCUUAAAUAAAUUGCUAUAAUAUGACCAUACUUAUCUUUUUUCGGCAAGAAAGAAAGUAAUAAAGAAAUUUUUUAGAAAUGAAACAUGAUAGUCUUGACACUUAUUCAAGGUAAAAAAAAAUAGACAAGGAAAAAUCCUGGCCUACUCAAGGAUCUAUCAUAUGGGCAAGGGAUCGUGACCAGGGUUAUCGACAUACAUGGAUAAAAGUCAAGAAUAACCCAAUUUUUCAACAUGUUAAUCUUAACCAAAGGCUUGCUGCUUGCCCAUGUCAGAAUUGAAGUGAAUGGACAAAAUUAGAAGAAUAAAAAGAAGAAACAAAAAAAAAAAUACAAAUUGAUGAAGAAAGAAACAAAGAUUUAAAAAACAUAAUAAAUCCUGAUUGGGUUAAAGAAUAGAUGGUAGGAAUAAAUAAGAAGAUAAAGCGUAAGCUAGGAGUCCUUCACCUUGCCUAAACAUGCAAAGAAGGAUGACAGCCAAGAAGAGGUUCAGAGGAUGUCCCAUGCUUAUAGAACUUUGAUUUGUGCAAUUACCUCUGUGCUAAAGGACACAGGUAGGAGGUUACUUGUAUAGAAGAAAGUUGGCCAAGAAUCUAGGCCUUUGAAGGAAUGUUUUUAUUUGUUUCUUAAAUAGAAGAAAUGUUUUUUUUUUGGUACAUCAUAGAUGGAAAAUUUUUAAAUUUUGAAACAUGAUAAACAUAAGUAUAGAAUGUAUUUAAUAUUAAUGAUUAUUCUGUAAUGCAGACUAGCACUGACCUUCCAUUCUCUUCAAUGUCCAACUGGAACGUAAUUUCUGAAGAAUUGUUUUUGCAUGUGAAAUUUAAAUAUGGGUUGGCAAAAGAUAAUUGAGAAAAAUUUCCAUGUUUUCUAAAAUAAUAAAUAAAAGUUUCUGUAUUUUCUUAAGGAAAUUUUGCUCGACUGGCACACAUUCUUUUAAGAAUUUUUCUUCUGUCAAUUUAAAUACAGCUCAAAAAAAAAUUUAGAAGGGUUUCUAUAAUUUUAAAAAUAAUUAAUAAGAUUUUAUAUAUUUUUAAAAUAAUUAUGACAUUUCUACAUGGAAAAAAUAUUAUCUAAAAUAAUUAAAAAAAGGCUUCUUCGAACACUUUUUUUUCUCCAAGAAAUUUCUAAGUGGAUGGAUUCAAACAAUUUUUUCUAAAUGGAUGAUUCAAAUAAUUUUUUCAUUAUAAUUUUUUCUAAAUAAUUAAGAAGAGUGCUGGUGAUAUUUCUAUAUUUUUCCUGAGCCCCAUUAAAAAAAGUAGGCCCUCCCUACCCAUAAGAUCUAGCAUUAACGAGGAUCAUCUCUAUAUAUGUUUGAGGUUACUUAUAUAAAAGAAUGUUAGCCAAAAAACUAGGUCUUUGAAAGAAAGUUUUUAUAUGUAUCUCGAAUAGAAGGUUUUUUUUUUUUUGGUUUGUGGGGUGUGGGGGGGGGAUACAGAAUUACUAUUCAACUUAACCUGGGCCUAUUUACUUUCCCUUUUUUUUAAAGAAAAACAUGAAAUAUGAUGCAAAAAAUAUAUAUUUGAUUGUUUAUACCUCAUCUGGGCAACAAAGAUAAUUGCCUUGAGUGGGUGCCAUGUAAACAAGGCUGGACACCAGGACAAGUUGGAGCGGAGUUAUCUGGCUUCUGCUAUCAAAUGAGAUUCGAUCAUGGAUUUUUCUUAAAAAUAAAAGUUCGAUAUUUUCUAUUCUUCAGAAGACUCUCCAACAUUUCAUAGUUUGGGAGUAUUUGUGCUCCACAAAGACAAGGGAUAAGCAUUGGAAGCCAUGGAUGAAUUUGCCAUGUUUAGUGCCUAAGUUGUCAUCUCGAUACUUUAUCCUUUGCUUUAACAUAUCUUUUAGCUUAUUUGUUUUUUUUUUUCUUUCUUUUGUUACCUUGUACAUAUUUCAAUUUUGAUUCUAAUAAAUUUGGGGCAGCUCCUUCCUUUAUCCAUGAAACAAAAAGCAAACAUGUGGAAGCAGCCAAUUAGUAGGAGCCUCGCAACACUAGGGGAAUAGAAGAACUAGAGCACCCACCAAAGCGACUACAUAUAUAGAUCGAACAAAAAAGAAGGGGGAAAUCAGAGAUUUCAGUGCAUAUCAUGUAUCAGUGAAGACAUAGCUAGCAGCAAAAUAUUUCAAGUCUAGAAAUCAUCCACCAUCACCUAUUUCCAGUAGCCAUUGGUGGCCAAGCACAGCUUCCCCAUCCGCAUCUUUCUCCUGCUGUCCAAUCUAGAAAGUGUGUUAUGCUCAAUUCUUGCGUUAUUUUAGCCAAGCAAGGAAUGUGAAGAGAGAGAGAGAGAGGUCAAUGGAGGUUAAGAAUAUUUAUCAGAUUGCUCGAUUCAUUUGAGAUACCACAACCCAUUCAACCAGAUAUUUUCUAGCACCAAAAAUAUCAGAAGUGUGAAAUCAUAACAUCCUUCCAACACUCAAACUUGUCCAAUAUCCUCCCACCUCUUUUCAAUUUUGAUCUUUUGUGGAUUUGUCACAUAAAUACAAUGCUCAAGCGGCCAAACAGACCACAAGAACUUCCCCAUUGUGUGAUUCUCAAGAUUGGAAGCCAGAUGUACUAAAUAUGGGGAAAGAAAAUAAAUUACCAUGAUUCAUAUGAAUACAUCCGGUUGUUGACCACUUUAAUGUUGUGAUGAAACAGUACAUGAACACAUUAAAAGCUGGGUGUAUUGUUUAGUUUUAGAUUGCAACAAGGAGUACUACUAGCUACAUAAUAAUAAAUAGACCUCCCUUUCUUCAGGCACUAUGAAAUGUAAAACUUUCAAAACAAGCCACUUAUUAGGGAAGAAGAUGUGAUGUAUGGGCCUUUUUCUUGGAUUUUUAAGAUUUGGACAAUAGUUUUAAUUAAAAAAACGUUUUGGAAGAAAUAAGAAAUUUACUAAAAGGCAGU